AAGAAGUGGUAGUAGCUAAAUGAUUUAUGUGGGAAAUAGGAUUAGUACAGUCCAAUUUGCAUAUAUCCCCCGUCUCAUCGGAGCAUGCUCUAUGUGUGCUCAGAUUGACUGAUGCGUGGAGCUCCCCACUGUUGG
ensembl:ncRNA D2005.9 ncRNA